rnacentral:snoRNA from 1 species
GCCCCGUGGUAGCUGGAUGCUGUUGUGCAAGGUACAGCUCUCCAGUGGAUGUGAGGGGCCCAGAGCAAUCCUGUGAUUUAUGCAUGGGGGCUGUUUCUUCUUAGCAGCCACCAUAGCCCGGUCACUGAUACAUGG